rnacentral:lncRNA from 1 species
AUGACCAGCACACCAUUUUACCACAACAGCAGCCUGAACAAACCUGCUGCACAGAGUUGUGUUGAUCCAUAUGUGAAUGUGACCACCAAAAACUCCAGCAGACCUGUGUUGACCCAGAUGCCCCGCGCUAGUUUCUCACAAAGUUCUUCCUUUGUGGAGGCAUCACACCUGAAGUCCUCCCUUAGUCAGCCUGGAGCUCAGAGCUUCAGCAGCCAGUCUUUGGCCAAUGAGAAGGACAGUGCCCACCCAAACCAGGCAAAUUUAUGGAUGCCCCAGCACAGUGCCAGUGAGAAAAGCUUCAUCUCGCCCUCCAGCUCAGUCAGCUGUCCUAUAACCUCUCCUCUCUCCUCUUCCAUCAUCUUGCAUAAGCAAAAUCUUGCUAGGCUACAUGGUCAGAAGCUGGUCCCCAUCUUCAAAAACAAGACUUUGCCAAAACAUGUCAACAUCACUAAAAUACUGGUGGAGAAACGGCUGCUACAGGCAGAGGAAAAUCUGGGCAAGAGGCCCUCUCCCACUUUCUCCUGUCCUCCCUCCACAUCAUUUCCUCCUACUCGUCCUCUGGGGAUUCCUCCUCUUUUCCCUCAUUCUGUUUUGGAGGGGCUGUCUCUGCCCCUGUCUAAGAAACCCAAAGAGAAUAAUGCUGUUGAUAAUGGCACCACACAGGGUCUCUUCCAUCAUAGUCAAAACUUGGAGCCAGUAGAGGUCCCUGGCACAUAUCGGGGAGAUGAUUUUGCGGUCACACCAAAGAAGCCAAAGUGCAACAUUCAAGACAUAGAUGUGGAGAUGUACGCUAGGAGCAAUCAGCUGGGGAAAGUGAACAUGACGACCCUGCAAGCUUGGCUCCGGAGCCGUGGCGUGGCUGUUCGUACUAAGGAAGUGAAGGAAGAACUGAUGUCAAAGGUCAUGAGGUGCCUGAAUGAAGCUUGAGCAAGAGAGCCCUGACUACCUGGUGUGGAGUAAUGAGUGUAAGGAUAUUCUUGUGAGAGGGUUCUGAUUUAUUCAACUUUCAACUUAUUCAACUGUAGUUAAGUGUUGUUUUUUUCCACAUUGUUUGCAGUUUAUUGUUGUUGGAUAGGAAAGAGAAACUGAGUUUUUUAGUUUUUAAUCGCAGUUCUGUCAGUUCACGAGAAUGGGCAUAAUAAAGCCGCUUACAUUUGCUUUCA